rnacentral:rRNA from 1 species
UGCUGAGGCGAACCGGGGGAACUGAAACAUCUAAGUACCCCGAGGAAGAGAAAUCAACCGAGAUUCCGGCAGUAGCGGCGAGCGAAACCGGAUUAGCCCUUAAGCUAGUCUUGCGUUAGGUGAACAAGCUGGAAAGCUUGGCGAUACAGGGUGAUAGCCCCGUAACCGACAGCGCAUAACGAGUGAAAUCGAGUAGGACGGGACACGUGAUAUCCUGUCUGAACAUGGGGGGACCAUCCUCCAAGGCUAAAUACUCCUGACUGACCGAUAGUGAACCAGUACCGUGAGGGAAAGGCGAAAAGAACCCCUGUGAGGGGAGUGAAAUAGAACCUGAAACCGUGUACGUACAAGCAGUAGGAGCCCUUCGGGGUGACUGCGUACCUUUUGUAUAAUGGGUCAGCGACUUAAUUUUAGUAGCAAGGUUAACCGAUUAGGGGAGCCGUAGGGAAACCGAGUCUUAACUGGGCGUGCAGUUGCUAGGAUUAGACCCGAAACCAGGUGAUCUAGCCAUGGGCAGGUUGAAGGUGAGGUAACACUUACUGGAGGACCGAACCGACUAAUGUUGAAAAAUUAGCGGAUGACUUGUGGCUAGGGGUGAAAGGCCAAUCAAACCUGGAGAUAGCUGGUUCUCCCCGAAAGCUAUUUAGGUAGCGCCUCGGACGAAUACUACUGGGGGUAGAGCACUGUUAAGGCUAGGGGGUCAUCCCGACUUACCAACCCUUUGCAAACUCCGAAUACCAGUAAGUACUAUCCGGGAGACACACGGCGGGUGCUAACGUCCGUCGUGGAGAGGGAAACAACCCAGACCGCCAGCUAAGGUCCCAAAGUUAUAGCUAAGUGGGAAACGAUGUGGGAAGGCUCAGACAGCCAGGAUGUUGGCUUAGAAGCAGCCAUCAUUUAAAGAAAGCGUAAUAGCUCACUGGUCGAGUCGGCCUGCGCGGAAGAUUUAACGGGGCUAAGCUAUACACCGAAGCUGCGGCAAU